UACCAGCACCCCGAGUGGUCGGGACGAUUAUUGGGCCUAAAGCAUCCGUAGCCGGUUCUACAAGUCUUCCGUUAAAUCCACCUGCUUAACAGAUGGGCUGCGGAGGAUACUAUGGAGCUAGGGAGGCGGGAGAGGCAAGCGGUACUUAGUGGGUAGGGGUAAAAUCCGUUGAUCCAUUGAAGACCACCAGUGGCGAAGGCGGCUUGCCAGAACGCACUCGACGGUGAGGGAUGAAAGCUGGGGGAGCAAACCGG
rnacentral:rRNA from 1 species